ACGGGACCGCACAGCUAGCGGAGCGUGUGGUUUAAUUCGUUGCUACACGAAGAACCUUACCUGGUUUGACAUAUAGGUUGUAGGGAACUGAAAAGGGACCGACCCUUCGGGGAGCCUAUACAGGUGUUGCAUGGCUGUCGUCAGCUCGUGUCGUGAGAUGUUCGGUUAAGUCCGCUAACGAGCGCAACCCUCGUCGUAUGUUAUAUGUGUCAUACGAGACUGCCGGUAAAAAGCCGGAGGAAGGUGAGGAUGAUGUCAAGUCAGCAUGACCUUUAUAUCCAGGGCUACACACACGCUACAAUGGUCUGUACAAUGGGUAGCCAAGCCGCGAGGCGGAGCCAAUCCUGAAAGCAGGCCUCAGUUCAGAUUGCAGUCUGCAACUCGACUGCAUGAAGCCGGAGUUGCUAGUAACCGCAGGUCAGCAAUACUGCGGUGAAUACGUUCCCGGGUCUU
rnacentral:rRNA from 1 species